ACGUAGGGGGCAAGCGUUAUCCGGAAUUAUUGGGCGUAAAGAGUGCGUAGGUGGUUUUUUAAGCGUGAGGUGAAAGGCAAUAGCUUAACUAUUGUAAGCCUUGCGAACUGGAAGACUUGAGUGCAGGAGAGGAAAGUGGAAUUCCUAGUGUAGCGGUGAUAUGGGUAGAUAUUAGGAGGAACGCCAGUGGGCGAGGCGACUAUAUGGACUGUGACUGACACUGAGGCAGGAAAGCGUGGGCAGCAAACAU
rnacentral:rRNA from 1 species